rnacentral:lncRNA from 1 species
UGCACCAAGCUUGAAUUGUUGAAUAUGUUGGUGACAACUGAGGGAGCCUUGAAAGGUUCAAGGGGCAUAGUUCUUGCUGCUGAGCUAGCUUCUACUUCCAAGAGAAAGUCUACUAGGAAGAAGAAGAAGCCUGCGAAGAAGCAGAAGACCGAGAAAAAGCUGAAGAAGGAAGUUCCUAAGAAGAAGGCCGAACCCAAAGGAAAAUGUUUCCAUUGCA